UACGAAGGGGGCUAGCGUUGUUCGGAUUUACUGGGCGUAAAGCGCACGUAGGCGGUUUGUUAAGUCAGAGGUGAAAUCCCGGAGCUCAACUCCGGAACUGCCUUUGAUACUGGCAAGCUAGAGUCCGGAAGAGGUAAGUGGAACUCCUAGUGUAGAGGUGGAAUUCGUAGAUAUUAGGAGGAACACCAGUGGCGAAGGCGGCUUACUGGUCCGGAACUGACGCUGAGGUGCGAAAGCGUGGGGAGCAAACAGG
rnacentral:rRNA from 1 species